GUGGCUUUGGCUCAGUGGUAGAGCACUCAUGAAGCACUGAGUUCGAUUCUCAGCACCACAUAAAAAUAAAAUAAAGGUAUUGUGUCCAUCUACAAUAUAUGUAUUUUAAAGUAAAAAGGGUUGGGGAUAUAGCUCAGUGGUAGAGUGCUUCUGGGUUCAAUUCCCAGUAUCCCCC
rnacentral:tRNA from 1 species